rnacentral:tRNA from 1 species
GCGGGUGUGGCGGAAUUGGUAGACGCAGGGGAUUCAAAAUCCCCCGCCGCAAGGCUUGUCGGUUCGAGUCCGACCACCCGUACCA